rnacentral:rRNA from 1 species
UAGGGAAUCUUCCGCAAUGGGCGAAAGCCUGACGGAGCAACGCCGCGUGAGUGAUGAAGGUCUUCGGAUCGUAAAACUCUGUUAUUAGGGAAGAACAAAUGUGUAAGUAACUAUGCACGUCUUGACGGUACCUAAUCAGAAAGCCACGGCUAACUACGUGCCAGCAGCCGCGGUAAUACGUAGGUGGCAAGCGUUAUCCGGAAUUAUUGGGCGUAAAGCGCGCGUAGGCGGUUUUUUAAGUCUGAUGUGAAAGCCCACGGCUCAAACGUGGAGGGUCAUUGGAAACGGGAAAACUUGAGUGCAGAAGAGGAAAGUGGAAUUCCAUGUGUAGCGGUGAAAUGCGCAGAGAUAUGGAGGAACACCAGUGGCGAAGGCGACUUUCUGGUCUGUAACUGACGCUGAUGUGCGAAAGCGUGGGGAUCAAACAGG